AAUCCGUGAUGUGGACAAGUACUUAACUGAUCCUUGAACCUCUCCUAGCAAGCCCGAAAAGUCUCAUCACCCUUUUGUAUAAACUAAAUGAUUUGUUCUUGCAAAAAU